GAUCGGCGUUCAUCUCGUCGUCUAAAAGAUUUUUUUAAGCGAAGUAUUUUUCUCGUUGUUUUGCCGCGAAAAGAAGAAGAGGAAAGUGUUUUGCCGCCCGGUCGAUGGACGCCGUGAGUUGGGUCGUCUCGGCGGUUCGGUAUCUCGUCGCGGUGGAAAUAUUGUAAAUAUGUGCAGAAGCCGUUGACAGACGUAUUGUUGUGUGUACGAAAUUUAUCAGUCUUUCAACUAAAUAUAAAGUGUUAAAAUAAGUCUACAAUGAGCUCUUCUUAUGGGCAUGUCGAGGACGAUUCGACUUCAUGUUUACUCCGGACAGUUUUCGAUUCUCUUACCGCACGAGGACGAGGAAGUGUACAACAUUGAUGAGAUCAAGGAGUUCGAACACAUCUCCCAGUGUUACAAGGACUGGCUCGCCGAAGUUUUGGACAAAGG
rnacentral:lncRNA from 1 species